GCGAUCCUACGGGGGGCAGCAGUGGGGAAUAUUGGGCAAUGGGCGCAAGCCUGACCCAGCAACGCCGCGUGAAGGAAGAAGGCUUUCGGGUUGUAAACUUCUUUUAUGAGGGACGAAACAAAUGACGGUACCUCAUGAAUAAGCCACGGCUAACUACGUGCCAGCAGCCGCGGUAAUACGGAGGAUGCGAGCGUUAUCCGGAUUUAUUGGGUUUAAAGGGUGCGCAGGCGGCCUGUUAAGUCAGCGGUAAAAGCCCGGGGCUCAACCCCGGCGAGCCGUUGAAACUGGCGGGCUGGAGUUGGAGA
rnacentral:rRNA from 1 species